CCUAGACACGGCAGAUAUAAUACACAUGAACACGCUGCUGCAGUGACUCCUUCAUCUCAGAGGAAAAACAGACACAGAUAAUUACACAGACAGCAGGUGGUGCAAUGGUACCAUUCAUCUAGGGCAUCUGAACCAACUCGACGCCCUGAAUUCUGAAAUUCUGUUAAUAAUCGUAUCAUCAAUUGAUACUUUUGCGUGUGCACGUUACACCAAACCGUGGAUUACGUCACAGAAUCCUGCACUUUUCACCGAUGGCACCAUUAUAUUCCAAAAGUAUAAAAAGUAAAAAGUAUUCAGAAAGAAUCAUGAAUUUCAAGACUGAUUUAAUCUUUGAUUAAAAUUGAUUAAGCUUUGGUGCUUUAUAUCGCUCGAUACAGACGACUGAAAAGACUUUUUCCAAGACUCUACGAUUUCUAAGUGAUGGUUAAGAGGAUUUUGAAAUUCUUUCAGCAUUCGUACAUAGCAUCCUGAAACACAAACCAUGCAGGAAUUAACACAUAAUGUACCCAAUUAGAGAGCCAGAAGGAAGUCAAGGCAUUUUGUAUAAUGGUGGGUGUGUGUGUGUGUGUGUGUGUGUGUGUGUGUGUGUGUGUGUGUGUGUGUGUGUAAUGAAACUAAUAGAGUUUCUGGGGUCUGACGGAUGCCCUCCACCAUAAUUGCUUUCAUACGUCUCACACCGACGCUCUUUAAAGUGCUUACAUUACAAACAUGGGCACGCUUCCAGACCCUCGCAGCUGAAAGCCACUGAUUACUAAUUUGGUUCGAUUUUCUGCUUAAAUUGUAUGGCUUUCUCUGAAAUCGCUGUUUUAUGGCUCCUGUGAGUGGAACUUUGCUAAAAUGUCUGACCAGAAAUCCUGCCUCCAAACUGAACGUAUAUAUGAAGCAUGUGAUCCGUGCACUAGACUACGCUUUUAAUCAGAUAAAUCCAGAUGAUGAGGCACUUCCAGAACAUGCGAGGACCAGCGUAUAGCUACUGAUGGUGUAGCAUUUAACCCCCAAACUACAUCUGUUUUCCUUUCCAGAAAGUGGGACCAGUAGCUGUAAAGAGAUUUCUGAGUGGGAUCUUUUAUUACAUCGCUUAUUCUUUAGAGGACUUCCUGAACGGAAGCAGCGGAACGCAUUUGGAUCCGAAUGCUGCAAGAGUUCGGAUCAUUGAGAUGUGCUGAUUGUGCCGAAUGUACCAGUCAUACCUGAUGGGGAACUUUGUCCUAAAACCCUCCGCAGCUACACCACAGCUAGCGGAUGUAGACUUCAUCAUGCAGGAAAAGGGGGAUUUUAAGACCAGGGCUGGCAACCCAUAGUCUAUGUUAAUGUUUUAGAGCACAUAAUCAACCUUGUCUAGGCUGGCUGUUUAGCUAGCAUGCUUUUCAGAUGGAGAGAGAAGCUCGAGAGUUUCUUUGUUAUUGCAGUACGCAUAAAUAAACACAUUUUAACACUCA